GCCUGGGUGGCUCAGUCGGUUAAGCGUCUGACUUCAGCUCGGGUCAUGAUCUCACGGUCUGUGAGUUUGAGCCCCAUCUUGGGCU
rnacentral:tRNA from 1 species